rnacentral:rRNA from 1 species
AUGGCAGCAGCAGCACCCGCAGAGACGAUGAACAAGCCCGACGCCGAGGUUCUCGAGGCGGUCACCUCGGUGUUCCAGCCGGGGAAGCUUGCGGUCGAGGCGAUUCAGGUGGAUGAGAAUGCGGCGCCGACACCACCGAUCCCGGUGCUGAUCGUCGCACCAAAGGAUGCGGGAACCUACCCCGUCGCCAUGCUCUUGCACGGCUUCUUCCUCCAUUACCACUUCUACGAACACCUUCUUCGACACGUGGCAUCCCACGGCUUCAUCAUUGUCGCACCCCAGUUCAGCAUCAGUAUCAUACCUUCAGGUGACGCCGAGGACAUCGCCGCGGCAGCCAAGGUGGCAGACUGGCUCCCCGACGGCCUCCCGUCCGUGCUGCCCAAAGGCGUCGAGCCGGAGCUCUCGAAGCUCGCCUUGGCCGGCCACAGCCGAGGAGGCCACACGGCUUUCUCAUUGGCCAUGGGGCAUGCCAAGACCCAGCUAACCUUCUCCGCGCUCAUCGGUCUCGACCCUGUCGCCGGCACAGGGAAGUCCUCCCAGCUCCAGCCCAAGAUCCUCACCUACGAGCCCUCCUCCUUCGACAUGGCGAUGCCGGUGCUGGUCGUUGGCACCGGGCUCGGCGAGGAGAAGAAGAACAUAUUCUUCCCUCCCUGCGCACCCAAGGACGUGAACCACGCCGAGUUCUACCGCGAGUGCAGGCCGCCCUGCUACUACUUUGUGACCAAGGACUACGGGCAUCUGGACAUGCUGGACGACGACGUCCCCAAGUUCAUCACCUGCGUCUGCAAGGAUGGGAACGGGUGCAAGGGCAAGAUGCGGAGGUGCGUUGCUGGGAUCAUGCAUGGUGGCAUUUCUGAAUGCUGCCCUGGGUGA